rnacentral:rRNA from 1 species
GACGUAGGGUGCAAGCGUUGUCCGGAAUCAUUGGGCGUAAAGCGCGUGUAGGCGGCUCGAUAAGUCUGCUGUGAAAGUCCAGGGCUCAACCCUGGGAUGCCGGUGGAUACUGUCGAGCUCGAGUCCGGAAGAGGCGAGUGGAAUCCUGGUGUAGCGGUGAAAUGCGCAGAUAUCAGGAGGAACACCAAUGGCGAAGGCAGCUCGCUGGGACGUGACUGACGCUGAGACGCGAAAGCGUGGGGAGCAAACAGG